UAGACGGGAUGUUAAGUCAGCUGUGAAAGUUUGGGGCUCAACCUUAAAAUUGCAGUUGAAACUGGCGUUCUUGAGUGCGGCAGAGGCAGGCGGAAUUCGUGGUGUAGCGGUGAAAUGCUUAGAUAUCACGAAGAACUCCAAUUGCGAAGGCAGCCUGCUGGAGCGUAACUGACGUUGAUGCUCGAAAGUGUGGGUAUCAAACAGGAUUAGAUACCCUGGUAGUCCACACGGUAAACGAUGAAUACUCGCUGUUGGCGAUAUACGGUCAGCGGCCAAGCGAAAGCAUUAAGUAUUCCACCUGGGGAGUACGCCGGCAACGGUGAAACUCAAAGGAAUUGACGGGGGCCCGCACAAGCGGAGGAACAUGUGGUUUAAUUCGAUGAUACGCGAGGAACCUUACCCGGGCUUAAAUUAUGCAUGAAUCAUUUGGAGACAGAUGAGCCGCAAGGCAUGUAUGAAGGUGCUGCAUGGUUGUCGUCAGCUCGUGCCGUGAGGUGUCGGCUUAAGUGCCUUAACGAGCGCAACCCUUUCUGCCAGUUACUAACAGUUUUAGCUGAGGACUCUGGCGGUACUGCCAUCGUAAGAUGUGAGGAAGGUGGGGAUGACGUCAAAUCAGCACGGCCCUUACGUCCGGGGCUACACACGUGUUACAAUGGGGGGUACAGAAGGCAGCUUGCCGGCGACGGUUGGCCAAUCCGUAAAGCCUCUCUCAGUUCGGACUGGAGUCUGCAACCCGACUCCACGAAGCUGGAUUCGCUAGUAAUCGCGCAUCAGCCACGGCGCGGUGAAUACNNNCCCGGGCCUUGUACACACCGCCCGUCAAGCCAUGAAAGCCGGGAGUACCUGAAGUGCGUAACCGCAAGGAGCGCCCUAGGGUAACACUGGUAAUUGGGGCUAAGUCGUAACAAGGUAACC
rnacentral:rRNA from 1 species